UACGUAGGGACCAAGCGUUGUCCGGAAUCAUUGGGCGUAAAGCGCGCGUAGGUGGCCAUUUAAGUCCGCUGUGAAAGUCAGAGGCUCAACCUUUGAAAGCCGGUGGAUACUGGAUGGCUAGAGUACGGAAGAGGCGAGUGGAAUUCCUGGUGUAGCGGUGGAAUGCGCAGAUAUCAGGAGGAACACCAAUAGCGAAGGCAGCUCGCUGGGACGUUACUGACACUAAGGCGCGAAAGCGUGGGGAGCAAACGGG
rnacentral:rRNA from 1 species